rnacentral:rRNA from 1 species
CCUACGGGUGGCAGCAGUGAGGAAUAUUGGUCAAUGGGCGAGAGCCUGAACCAGCCAAGUCGCGUGAAGGAUGACGGCCCUACGGGUUGUAAACCUCUUUUGUCAGGGAGCAACGCCGGCUACGUGUAGCCGGACUGAGAGUACCUGAAGAAAAAGCAUCGGCUAACUCCGUGCCAGCAGCCGCGGUAAUACGGAGGAUGCGAGCGUUAUCCGGAUUUAUUGGGUUUAAAGGGUGCGUAGGCGGAAGGUUAAGUCAGCGGUCAAAUGUCGGUGCUCAACACCGGCCUGCCGUUGAAACUGGUCUUCUUGAGUGAGCGAGAAGUAUGCGGAAUGCGGGGUGUAGCGGUGAAAUGCAUAGAUAUCACGCAGAACUCCGAUUGCGAAGGCAGCAUACCGGCGCCCAACUGACGCUGAAGCACGAAAGCGUGGGUAUCGAACAGGAUUAGAUACCCGGGUAGUC